rnacentral:rRNA from 1 species
UACCAUGAAGCUGGAGUUGCUAGUAAUCGCGAAUCAGCAUGUCGCGGUGAAUACGUUCCCGGGCCUUGUACACACCGCCCGUCACACCAUGAGAGUUGGCAAUACCCAACGUACGUGAUCUAACCCGCAAGGGAGGAAGCGUCCUAAGGUAGGGUCAGCGAUUGGGGUGAAGUCGUAACAAGGUAUC